rnacentral:misc_RNA from 1 species
AAAGGUUGCAGAUUUUUCGCUUGCCAAGUUUUUGCCAAAUAUUGGUAAUGUUAGCCAUAUCACCAGUCUAUUCAAGGGAGCUAACGUUUAUGCAGAUGCAGAGGAUGGAAUACAAAAAGUCUCUGAGAAGUCAGAUAUCUAUUCCUAUGGCAUUGUUCUUCUAGAGCUAAUUACUGGAAAACCACCAUUAUUUGGUGAUAGUGAUAACAUCGUCAAUUGGGCAAAAUCUCGGAUUGAAGAAGCUUUGAUCAAUAAAAUAUAUACAGAUUUUGUUGAUCCCAUAUUGCAAGGGGAUUACGAUGACACGCAAAUGGAGAGAAUGAUUCAAUGUGCUGAAGCUUGCGUAUAUAGACCUUCAGUUUCACGACCAAAUAUGGAGCAGAUAAUUGCAAUUCUCAAAAAUCCUAACCUUUCAAUUGAGACAUCUCUUCAUGUAGGAGGUGUUCAUAUUGAUCUACAAUCUGCACUUGAUAUUAAGAACAUGCAAACUACUCCGCCAAAAAUCUUUUCUUUUGAAGAACUAGCAGAGUCAACUUGUAGUUUUUCUAACAACAACUUGCUUGGCGUGGGAACAGUUUAUAAGGGAUCUCUUAUAAACAAUGAAAUCGUUGCAAUUAAAAAGCUUGAAUAUCUAGGUGUAGAACUGAGCACAAGUGAAUUUCAAGAGGAGAUGAACGCCAUUAGUAGCAUCUGUUACCAACAUAUUGUCAAGCUAAUUGGGUACUGUAACGAAGAAUCCAAUAGAUUGCUUGUU